UGGGGGAUAUUGCACAAUGGGCGAAAGCCUGAUGCAGCGACGCCGCGUGGGGGAUGAAGGCUUUCGGGUUGUAAACCUCUUUCGCUAUCGAACAAGGCCCGCUUAGGGUGGGUUGAGGGUAGGUGGAGAAGAAGCGCCGGCUAACUACGUGCCGGCAGCCGCGGUAAUACGUAGGGCGCGAGCGUUGUCCGGAAUUAUUGGGCGUAAAGGGCUUGUAGGCGGCUUGUUGCGCCUGCUGUGAAAACGCGGGGCUUAACUUCGCGCGUGCAGUGGGUACGGGCAGGCUUGAGUGUGGUAGGGGUGACUGGAAUUCCAGGUGUAGCGGUGGAAUGCGCAGAUAUCUGGAGGAACACCGAUGGCGAAGGCAGGUCACUGGGCCAUUACUGACGCUGAGGAGCGAAAGCAUGGGUAGCGAACAGG
rnacentral:rRNA from 1 species